AACUACAAAAUGGCUACCUCAAUUUGUUUUCGGAAUAUUAUGCUUUUUCUACUAAGAGAGAUAAUAAGAGUACCUAUGUGAAAUAUCACAAUUUAAUAAUGCGCAUACCUCGCUUGAAAAUUAAAAUGGAAAAAAAUAACGCCAAUGUUAUACAGAUAGAUAAUCGUUUUAUUAUCUUAAGUUUGAUAAUAAUUCAGUUCAUUCUAAUAUAAAAACUAACAGCCUAAAGUUGUUUCUGCUGAACCCAAAUUUGCUUUGUCGUACGUCUGUAUAAGACACAGAUAACGGUACAUGCGAGUGUCAAGUACCUCAUUUGUGCGUGUCUAUGCGUUU